CCUACGGGUGGCAGCAGUGGGGAAUAUUGCACAAUGGGGGCAACCCUGAUGCAGCGACGCCGCGUGAGUGAAGAAGUAAUUCGUUAUGUAAAGCUCUAUCAGCAGGGAAGAAAAUGACGGUACCUGAGUAAGAAGCCACGGCUAACUACGUUCCAGCAGCCGCGGUAAUACGUAGGGGGCAAGCGUUAUCCGGAUUUACUGGGUGUAAAGGGGGCGUAGACGGCAGUGCAAGUCUGGAGUGAAAGGUGGGGGCUCAACCCCCGGACUGCUGUGGAAACUGUACGGCUGGAGUGCAGGAGAGGUAAGUGGAAUUCGUAGUGUAGCGGUGAAAUGCGUAGAUAUCAGGAGGAACACCAGUGGCGAAGGCGGCUUACUGGACUGUAACUGACGUUGAGGCUCGAAAGCGUGGGGAGCAAACAGGAUUAGAUACCCUAGUAGUC
rnacentral:rRNA from 1 species